GAAGAAGUUAAACGAAGAGUUGCCCACAAAUAACCGGAAAGUUGUUCAAAUGUCUUCUAACCAUUUUGUGAUUUUAGAUUUCUCUUUCUUCAUUUUUUCCUUCUUCCCCUUUCUACCCCCU
rnacentral:ribozyme from 1 species